rnacentral:rRNA from 1 species
UACGUAGGGUGCGAGCGUUGUCCGGAAUUAUUGGGCGUAAAGGGCUCGUAGGCGGUUUGUCGCGUCGGGAGUGAAAACACCGGGCUUAACUCGGUGCUGGCUUUCGAUACGGGCAGACUAGAGGUAUUCAGGGGAGAACGGAAUUCCUGGUGUAGCGGUGAAAUGCGCAGAUAUCAGGAGGAACACCGGUGGCGAAGGCGGGUCUCUAGGCCGACACUGACGCUGAGGAGCGAAAGCGUGGGGAGCGAACAGG